AUGGCUUCUUGGCCUUUUGGCUAAGAUCAAGUGUAGUAUCUGAGGGUCUGUCCCUUAUAACUUUAACAAUGUUUUUAAGAUAAUAGGUAAAAAAAAAACAGCCAGGUACUGGUAGCUCAUGCCUGUACUCCUAGCUACUCAGGAGGCUGAGAUCUGAGGAUUACCG
rfam:Dipodomys ordii contig_1296, whole genome shotgun sequence.